UAGGGAAUCUUCGGCAAUGGGGGGAACCCUGACCGAGCAACGCCGCGUGAGUGAAGAAGGUUUUCGGAGCGUAAAGCUCGGUUGUUAAGGAAGAACGAGUGUGAGAAUGGAAAGUUCAUACUGUGACGGUACUUAACCAGAAAGGGACGGCUAACUACGUGCCAGCAGCCGCGGUAAUACGUAGGUCCCGAGCGUUGUCCGGAUUUAUUGGGCGUAAAGCGAGCGCAGGCGGUUAGAUAAGUCUGAAGUUAAAGGCAGUGGCUCAACCAUUGUAGGCUUUGGAAACUGUUUAACUUGAGUGCAGAAGGGGAGGGUGGAAUUCCAUGUGUAGCGGUGAAAUGCGUAGAUAUCGGGAAGAACACCAAUGGCGAAGGCAGGUCUCUGGGCUGUUACUGACGCUGAGAAGCGAAAGCGUGGGGAGCGAACAGG
rnacentral:rRNA from 1 species